rnacentral:sRNA from 1 species
UGUAAGUGGAUCCAACCGUAAGUAGCGA